rnacentral:rRNA from 1 species
GAUGAACGCUAGCUACAGGCUUAACACAUGCAAGUCGAGGGGCAGCAGGAUCUAGCAAUAGAUUGCUGGCGACCGGCGCACGGGUGAGUAACACGUAUCCAACCUGCCGAUAACUCGGGGAUAGCCUUUCGAAAGAAAGAUUAAUACCCGAUGGUAUAAUCAGACCGCAUGGUUUGAUUAUUAAAGAAUUUCGGUUAUCGAUGGGGAUGCGUUCCAUUAGGCAGUUGGUGAGGUAACGGCUCACCAAACCUUCGAUGGAUAGGGGUUCUGAGAGGAAGGUCCCCCACAUUGGAACUGAGACACGGUCCAAACUCCUACGGGAGGCAGCAGUGAGGAAUAUUGGUCAAUGGACGCGAGUCUGAACCAGCCAAGUAGCGUGAAGGAUGACUGCCCUAUGGGUUGUAAACUUCUUUUAUAUGGGAAUAAAGUUUUCCACGUGUGGAAUUUUGUAUGUACCAUAUGAAUAAGGAUCGGCUAACUCCGUGCCAGCAGCCGCGGUAAUACGGAGGAUCCGAGCGUUAUCCGGAUUUAUUGGGUUUAAAGGGAGCGUAGGUGGACAGUUAAGUCAGUUGUGAAAGUUUGCGGCUCAACCGUAAAAUUGCAGUUGAUACUGGCUGUCUUGAGUACAGUAGAGGUGGGCGGAAUUCGUGGUGUAGCGGUGAAAUGCUUAGAUAUCACGAAGAACUCCGAUUGCGAAGGCAGCUCACUGGACUGCAACUGACACUGAUGCUCGAAAGUGUGGGUAUCAAACAGGAUUAGAUACCCUGGUAGUCCACACAGUAAACGAUGAAUACUCGCUGUUUGCGAUAUACAGUAAGCGGCCAAGCGAAAGCAUUAAGUAUUCCACCUGGGGAGUACGCCGGCAACGGUGAAACUCAAAGGAAUUGACGGGGGCCCGCACAAGCGGAGGAACAUGUGGUUUAAUUCGAUGAUACGCGAGGAACCUUACCCGGGCUUAAAUUGCAUUUGAAUAAUCUGGAAACAGGUUAGCCGCAAGGCAAAUGUGAAGGUGCUGCAUGGUUGUCGUCAGCUCGUGCCGUGAGGUGUCGGCUUAAGUGCCAUAACGAGCGCAACCCUUAUCUUUAGUUACUAACAGGUCAUGCUGAGGACUCUAGAGAGACUGCCGUCAUAAGAUGUGAGGAAGGUGGGGAUGACGUCAAAUCAGCACGGCCCUUACGUCCGGGGCUACACACGUGUUACAAUGGGGGGUACAGAAGGCAGCUACCUGGUGACAGGAUGCUAAUCCCAAAAGCCUCUCUCAGUUCGGAUCGAAGUCUGCAACCCGACUUCGUGAAGCUGGAUUCGCUAGUAAUCGCGCAUCAGCCAUGGCGCGGUGAAUACGUUCCCGGGCCU